CCGUGACGACAUCGAGCUAUUAUACGCAUGAACCUCUAAGGCCUUUCCUGUAAACACAGUCCUCCACUGCAGUAUCGCUCUCUGGAGUCAAUCUAUUUCUUGGUCACCAACAGACCACCUUCAUUGAACACUCUAAACAAUGUUAAUGGUGUGUUUGGGUCUAAAGGGAUUAUUAUAGUGCUUUCUAGGUACUUUUGCAACCCAGUAUCAUGACUAAAUGUGAAAUAGAAACGCCGGUCCCCUGUAUGCAUUUUACGCUUUGUUUCUCCGAAACAUGAAAUGGACAUGCAUGCACAGAAACGGCUCUGCACCGGUGUUUCUAAUCUGAGAGGCUACUGUCGGGUUGGACCACAGCAGGCGUCUUGCCGAAGCUUUGGUAGCUAGUUGCUAACAAGAUUCAUGAUUCAAGAUACCAGUAGACAUCCAACAGCUUACUCCAGUCGCUGGAGAGCACGAGCCACCGUGGCCUCACCACCCCCUCCUCCUCUCUCCCUUGGCUUCUCCCAUCAGACAAACCAAUCAGGAUUUGAGAAACGGAAUCUCAGGCAAACAUACCAAACACUUUCUAAACACCAUGUAUGUUAAUAUUAUGCAUGGUUUUAAAUAUUUGCACCAAUUAUGAAAAUCUUAAAGUGGGAUAACUUAUUAUUAAUCUGCAGUUAAAUUACAUUUAGUUUUCCCACUUUUUAUUUACUUUAACACUAAAGUUUUAGCCAGAGUUCAUCUUCUGUUUAUUUAAUCUCAGUAUUUCCAUCAUGAAUACAUUAUUUUACAGUACUGUUGUUGUUGUGAAGAAAUUUUGUGUUUUUCUUUUUCUGCAGAGAUUUAUUCAGCUGCAGUCUACUCAGCAGUGAGAACAACAGGCAUCAGUUAUGAACAAUUAUGCUGUCACACCAAAGAGGAAAAGAGACUUUAAACCAGAGCCAGACGUCGUCUACUCUUCACUGAAGUAGUCCACCAGUCCAACCACUGACGUCCAUCUGCUGGUCUCUAAUUGGUCCGCCCAGCACAUCAGACCAGAGGACAUCCACAUGUUGUUCUUUUCUAUUUUCAGAUUUUUUUUUUCUUAUCUGGACAACUAUGAUAUUUUCAAAUUCAAUUUUCCUGUAAAAUCAUCAAUAAUAAACAUAUGUUAAUGUGUU